AUUGAACGCUGGCGGCAUGCUUUACACAUGCAAGUCGAACGGCAGCGCGGGCUUCGGCCUGGCGGCGAGUGGCGAACGGGUGAGUAAUGCAUCGGAACGUGCCCAGUAGUGGGGGAUAGCCCGGCGAAAGCCGGAUUAAUACCGCAUACGACCUGAGGGUGAAAGCGGGGGACCGAAAGGCCUCGCGCUAUUGGAGCGGCCGAUGUCGGAGUAGCUAGUUGGUGGGGUAAAGGCUUACCAAGGCGACGAUCCGUAGCUGGUCUGAGAGGACGACCAGCCACACUGGGACUGAGACACGGCCCAGACUCCUACGAGAGGCAGCAGUGGGGAAUUUUGGACAAUGGGGGCAACCCUGAUCCAGCCAUGCCGCGUGCGGGAAGAAGGCCUUCGGGUUGUAAACCGCUUUUGUUCGGGAAGAAAUCCUCUGGGCUAAUACCCCGGGGGGAUGACGGUACCGGAAGAAUAAGCACCGGCUAACUACGUG
rnacentral:rRNA from 1 species